rfam:Candidatus Roizmanbacteria bacterium RIFCSPHIGHO2_12_FTLL_39_8 rifcsphigho2_12_scaffold_9581, whole genome shotgun sequence.
GCGGUGGUAGUUCAGCGGUAGAAUGUCUCCCUUCCAAGGAGAAGGUCAGGGGUUCAAAUCCCCUCCACCGCU